rnacentral:rRNA from 1 species
CAAGUCGAGCGAUGAAGCUUCUUCGGGAGCGGAUUAGCGGCGGACGGGUGAGUAACACGUGGGUAACCUGCCUCAUAGAGGGGAAUAGCCUUCCGAAAGGAAGAUUAAUACCGCAUAAGAUUGUAGUUUCGCAUGAAACAGCAAUUAAAGGAGUAAUCCGCUAUGAGAUGGAUCCGCGUCGCAUUAGCUAGUUGGUGAGGUAACGGCUCACCAAGGCGACGAUGCGUAGCCGACCUGAGAGGGUGAUCGGCCACAUUGGGACUGAGACACGGCCCAGACUCCUACGGGAGGCAGCAGUGGGGAAUAUUGCACAAUGGGGGAAACCCUGAUGCAGCAACGCCGCGUGAGUGAUGACGGUCUUCGGAUUGUAAAACUCUGUCUUCAGGGACGAUAAUGACGGUACCUGAGGAGGAAGCCACGGCUAACUACGUGCCAGCAGCCGCGGU